rnacentral:rRNA from 1 species
GCCCGCUCAGAAACUACAAGGAAGUUGACGGGGCCCGCACAAGCGGUGGAGCAUGUGGUUUAAUUCGAAGCAACGCGAAGAACCUUACCAGGCCUUGACAUGCAGAGAACUUUCCAGAGAUGGAUUGGUGCCUUCGGGAACUCUGACACAGGUGCUGCAUGGCUGGUCGUCAGCUCGUGUCGUGAGAUGUUGGGUUAAGUCCCGCAACGAGCGCAACCCUUGCCUUUAGUUGCCAGCAGUUCGGCUGGGCACUCUAAAGGGACUGCCGGUGUUAAACCGGAGGAAGGUGGGGAUGACGUCAAGUCCUCAUGGCCUUUAUGACCAGGGCUACACACGUACUACAAUGGCCGAUACAAAGGGCAGCGACACUGCGAGGUGAAGCCAAUCCCGUAAAAUCGGUCUCAGUCCGGAUUGGAGUCUGCAACUCGACUCCAUGAAGUUGGAAUCGCUAGUAAUCGUGGAUCAGCAUGCCACGGUGAAUACGUUCCCGGGCCUU